CCUACGGGAGGCAGCAGUGGGGAAUUUUGGACAAUGGGCGCAAGCCUGAUCCAGCAAUGCCGCGUGAGUGAAGAAGGCCUUCGGGUUGUAAAGCUCUUUUGUCAGGGAAGAAACGGUGGGGGCUAAUAUCUCCCACUAAUGACGGUACCUGAAGAAUAAGCACCGGCUAACUACGUGCCAGCAGCCGCGGUAAUACGUAGGGUGCAAGCGUUAAUCGGAAUUACUGGGCGUAAAGCGUGCGCAGGCGGUUUUGUAAGUUUGUCGUGAAAUCCCCGGGCUCAACCUGGGAAUGGCGAUGAAGACUGCAAGGCUAGAAUCUGGCAGAGGGGGGUAGAAUUCCACGUGUAGCAGUGAAAUGCGUAGAGAUGUGGAGGAACACCGAUGGCGAAGGCAGCCCCCUGGGUCAAGAUUGACGCUCAUGCACGAAAGCGUGGGGAGCAAACAGGAUUAGAUACCCUGGUAGUCCACGCCCUAAACGAUGUCUACUAGUUGUCGGGUUUUAAUUAACUUGGUAACGCAGCUAACGCGUGAAGUAGACCGCCUGGGGAGUACGGUCGCAAGAUUAAAACUCAAAUGAAUUGACGG
rnacentral:rRNA from 1 species